rnacentral:Y_RNA from 1 species
GGUUGGUCCUCCGAGUGCAGUGGUGUUUACAACUAAUUGAUCACAACCAGUUACAGAUUCCUUUGUUCCUUCUCCACUCCCACUGCUUCACUUGACCAGUCUUAA